CCCUUAGAUGUCCUGGGCCGCACGCGCGUUACACUGAUGCAUUCAACGAGCUUAUAACCUUGGCCGAGAGGCCUGGGCAAUCUUGUUAACGUGCAUCGUGAUAGGGAUAGAUUAUUGAAAUUAUUAAUCUUGAACGAGGAAUUCCUAGUAAACGCAGAUCAUCAAUCUGCAUUGAUUACGUCCCUGCCCUUUGUACACACCGCCCGUCGCACCUACCGAUUGGAUGGCCCGGUGAAGCCUCGGGAUUGUGGUUCUUGCCGCUUUAUUGUGGCGUGACCGCGAGAACUUGUCUAAACCUUAUCAUCUAGAGGAAGGUGAANUCGUANCA
rnacentral:rRNA from 1 species